UCUCCGUAGGUGAACCUGCGGAGGGAUCAUUACAGAGUUCAUGCCCUACCGGGUAGAUCUCCCACCCUAUGUUAUUAUUACUUUGUUGCUUUGGCGGGCCGUUAGGCUCCGGCCCGACUACCGGCCCCGGCUGGUAAGCGCCCGCCAGGGGACCCAAAACCCUGAAUAUUAGUGUCGUCUGAGUACUAUAUAAUAGUUAAAACUUCCAACAACGGAUCUCUUGGUUCUG
rnacentral:misc_RNA from 1 species